GACUGCGGACCUCUAUCAAGUUUGUAAACAAGAGCCUUUCUAUCUCGGAGUCAAGGCCUGCAGACAGUUCCAAAUAUUUGAAAUGUGAAGGCAAUGAGAUGAAAAUGAAGCUUUCUCACCCAUGAUCUCUCUUUGAUCGGCAGCUGCAAUCUUCUAUUCAAGGUGACCUUUGGAAGCACUUCCAGUGGGUCUGGAGAAGUGUCCAGACUUUGAUGAUUCAGGGAGAGUGAGGCUGACAACUUUGUGCAACUGUCUCACUUCAAUACAGUUCACUCACGAGUGAAUACAUCACCCCAUGAAGUCAUUGGUCUUCUUCGAAAUGAAGGAUGAAUAACAACAACCUACACCUAUGUGUCUCUCCCUCUCUGUAGCACUGGGCUCAAUUCCAUUCUGCUGAACCUCUUUGGGACACUUUUGCAUGAAAGAUGCUAUAGAAGAUUUUCCUGAUGCAGUGUCUGGCCGUCUCUUACUUCAGUAGUUCCUGUUGAGGAUGUCAGGUGGUAGCAGCUUGAAGUCUACCUUGUGUGUGAUCUC